rnacentral:rRNA from 1 species
UUAAGCGACUAAGCGUACACGGUGGAUGCCCUGGCAGUCAGAGGCGAUGAAGGGCGUGCUAAUCUGCGAUAAGCGCCGGUAAGGUGAUAUGAACCGUUAUAACCGGCGAUACCCGAAUGGGGAAACCCAGUGUGACUCGUCACACUAUCAUUAACUGAAUCCAUAGGUUAAUGAGGCGAACCGGGGGAACUGAAACAUCUAAGUACCCCGAGGAAAAGAAAUCAACCGAGAUUCCCCCAGUAGCGGCGAGCGAACGGGGAGGAGCCCAGAGCCUGAAUCAGCAUGUGUGUUAGUGGAAGCGUCUGGAAAGGCGCGCGAUACAGGGUGACAGCCCCGUACACAAAAGCGCAUGUGCUGUGAGCUCGAUGAGUAGGGCGGGACACGUGGUAUCCUGUCUGAAUAUGGGGGGACCAUCCUCCAAGGCUAAAUACUCCUGACUGACCGAUAGUGAACCAGUACCGUGAGGGAAAGGCGAAAAGAACCCCGGCGAGGGGAGUGAAAAAGAACCUGAAACCGUGUACGUACAAGCAGUGGGAGCACAGGUUUACCUGUGUGACUGCGUACCUUUUGUAUAAUGGGUCAGCGACUUAUAUUCUGUAGCAAGGUUAACCGCAUAGGGGAGCCGGAGGGAAACCGAGUCUUAACCGGGCGUUAAGUUGCAGGGUAUAGACCCGAAACCCGGUGAUCUAGCCAUGGGCAGGUUGAAGGUUGGGUAACACUAACUGGAGGACCGAACCGACUAAUGUUGAAAAAUUAGCGGAUGACCUGUGGCUGGGGGUGAAAGGCCAAUCAAACCGGGAGAUAGCUGGUUCUCCCCGAAAGCUAUUUAGGUAGCGCCUCGUGAAUUCAUCUCCGGGGGUAGAGCACUGUUUCGGCUAGGGGGCCAUCCCGGCUUACCAACCCGAUGCAAACUGCGAAUACCGGAGAAUGUUAUCACGGGAGACACACGGCGGGUGCUAACGUCCGUCGUGAAGAGGGAAACAACCCAGACCGCCAGCUAAGGUCCCAAAGUCAUGGUUAAGUGGGAAACGAUGUGGGAAGGCCCAGACAGCCAGGAUGUUGGCUUAGAAGCAGCCAUCAUUUAAAGAAAGCGUAAUAGCUCACUGGUCGAGUCGGCCUGCGCGGAAGAUGUAACGGGGCUAAACCAUGCACCGAAGCUGCGGCAGCGAACGUAUCACUUAAAGCGAUUCAGCGGGUUACGAUUGACGGAGCGAAGCGACGUCAAAGCGUAUACAAAGUCGAGUCGGUUUAAGGAUACGUUCGUUGGGUAGGGGAGCGUUCUGUAAGCCUGUGAAGGUGGCCUGUGAGGGUUGCUGGAGGUAUCAGAAGUGCGAAUGCUGACAUAAGUAACGAUAAAGCGGGUGAAAAGCCCGCUCGCCGGAAGACCAAGGGUUCCUGUCCAACGUUAAUCGGGGCAGGGUGAGUCGACCCCUAAGGCGAGGCCGAAAGGCGUAGUCGAUGGGAAACGGGUUAAUAUUCCCGUACUUGGUGUUACUGCGAAGGGGGGACGGAGAAGGCUAUGUUGGCCGGGCGACGGUUGUCCCGGUUUAAGCGUGUAGGUGUGUGUUCCAGGUAAAUCCGGUUCACUUUAACACUGAGGCGUGACGACGAGGCACUACGGUGCUGAAGCAACAAAUGCCCUGCUUCCAGGAAAAGCCUCUAAGCAUCAGGUAACAUCAAAUCGUACCCCAAACCGACACAGGUGGUCAGGUAGAGAAUACCAAGGCGCUUGAGAGAACUCGGGUGAAGGAACUAGGCAAAAUGGUGCCGUAACUUCGGGAGAAGGCACGCUGACACGUAGGUGAAGUGAUUUACUCAUGGAGCUGAAGUCAGUCGAAGAUACCAGCUGGCUGCAACUGUUUAUUAAAAACACAGCACUGUGCAAACACGAAAGUGGACGUAUACGGUGUGACGCCUGCCCGGUGCCGGAAGGUUAAUUGAUGGGGUCAGCGCAAGCGAAGCUCCUGAUCGAAGCCCCGGUAAACGGCGGCCGUAACUAUAACGGUCCUAAGGUAGCGAAAUUCCUUGUCGGGUAAGUUCCGACCUGCACGAAUGGCGUAAUGAUGGCCAGGCUGUCUCCACCCGAGACUCAGUGAAAUUGAACUCGCUGUGAAGAUGCAGUGUACCCGCGGCAAGACGGAAAGACCCCGUGAACCUUUACUAUAGCUUGACACUGAACAUUGAGCCUUGAUGUGUAGGAUAGGUGGGAGGCUUUGAAGCGUGGACGCCAGUCUGCGUGGAGCCAACCUUGAAAUACCACCCUUUAAUGUUUGAUGUUCUAACGUGGACCCGUAAUCCGGGUUGCGGACAGUGUCUGGUGGGUAGUUUGACUGGGGCGGUCUCCUCCUAAAGAGUAACGGAGGAGCACGAAGGUUGGCUAAUCCUGGUCGGACAUCAGGAGGUUAGUGCAAUGGCAUAAGCCAGCUUGACUGCGAGCGUGACGGCGCGAGCAGGUGCGAAAGCAGGUCAUAGUGAUCCGGUGGUUCUGAAUGGAAGGGCCAUCGCUCAACGGAUAAAAGGUACUCCGGGGAUAACAGGCUGAUACCGCCCAAGAGUUCAUAUCGACGGCGGUGUUUGGCACCUCGAUGUCGGCUCAUCACAUCCUGGGGCUGAAGUAGGUCCCAAGGGUAUGGCUGUUCGCCAUUUAAAGUGGUACGCGAGCUGGGUUUAGAACGUCGUGAGACAGUUCGGUCCCUAUCUGCCGUGGGCGCUGGAGAACUGAGGGGGGCUGCUCCUAGUACGAGAGGACCGGAGUGGACGCAUCACUGGUGUUCGGGUUGUCAUGCCAAUGGCACUGCCCGGUAGCUAAAUGCGGAAGAGAUAAGUGCUGAAAGCAUCUAAGCACGAAACUUGCCCCGAGAUGAGUUCUCCCUGAGACUUUAGGUCUCCUGAAGGAACGUUGAAGACGACGACGUUGAUAGGCCGGGUGUGUAAGCGCAGCGAUGCGUUGAGCUAACCGGUACUAAUGAACCGUGAGGCUUAACCUU